AGGUCAGCAAUGGCCUAGAAACAAUUGGGCUCGAGCUGUCAGUGUACAUAACGGCAGUCCGGGGAUUAGUACUGUAGUGAAACCGCAAAUAGAAAAACAAAGUCAGACAUUUGACCAAUUACUUAAUUCAUCUCGUCGCGUUUCGUUGUAGUUACUGACGCGAUUAAGUGCACUUCGACAGGGUGUCAUUGUUUUAGGAAUAGCGUUAUGUAAAAUUUCGCCAAGCGUCGCAGAGGUAAAAGAAUGAAAAUCCCGUGUUAACGUCACGGUGCUUCAUCAAUACCGCGAGCCGCUCGGUGACGCCGGUGCUCUCGCCGCCGUCAGGACCGCGAUUUCUAGCCGGACCGCAGGGACGCCAGGACAGCUGUGAGACAACAGGACUCCUUCUUUGCCAUCACCAUCAUUUCAUACCCAUCAGUCCUGCUCAGAGGCAUUGUGAGCUGGGGCCUACCCUGGCAGACAGUGUACAAGGAGAGAUGAACAAUGCACAUACGAAGACCGUGGAGGAGGUACUGUGCUAUUUUGGAGUGAAUGAGUCAACAGGCCUCAGCUGUGAGCAAGUCAAGAAGGCCAAAGAACAAUGGGGCACCAACGAGCUGCCUGCUGAAGAAGGUGAGAGAUCUAACAGUCACUGUGGGGUGUAAC